rnacentral:rRNA from 1 species
UCCUGGCUCAGGACGAACGCUGGCGGCGUGCCUAAUACAUGCAAGUCGAACGCUUCUUUUCCUCCCGAGUGCUUGCACUCAAUUGGAAAGAGGAGUGGCGGACGGGUGAGUAACACGUGGGUAACCUACCCAUCAGAGGGGGAUAACACUUGGAAACAGGUGCUAAUACCGCAUAACAGUUUAUGCCGCAUGGCAUAAGAGUGAAGGGCGCUUUCGGGUGUCGCUGAUGGAUGGACCCGCGGUGCAUUAGCUAGUUGGUGAGGUAACGGCUCACCAAGGCCACGAUGCAUAGCCGAGCUGAGAGGGUGAUCGGCCACACUGGGACUGAGACACGGCCCCAGACUCCUACGGGAGGCAGCAGUAGGGAAUCUUCGGCAAUGGACGAAAGUCUGACCGAGCAACGCCGCGUGAGUGAAGAAGGUUUUCGGAUCGUAAAACUCUGUUUGUUAGAGAAGAACAAGGACGUUAGUAACUGAAACGUCCCCCUGACGGUAUCUAACCAGAAAGCCACGGCUAACUACGUGCCAGCAGCCGCGGUAAUACGUAGGUGGGCAAGCGUUGUCCGGGAUUUAUUGGGGCGUAAAGCGAGCGCAGGCGGUUUUCUUAAGUCUGAUGUGAAAAGCUCCCGGCUCACCCGGGGGAGGGUCAUUGGGAAACUGGGAGGACUUGAGUGCAGAAGAAGGAGAAGUGGAAUUUCCUGUGUUGUAGCCGGUGGAAAUGCGUAGAUAUAUUAUGGAAGGAACAUAGUUGGGCGAAGCCGGCUCUUCUGGGUCUGUAACUGACGCUGAAGGCUUCGAAAGCGCGUGGGGGGGAGCAAACAGGAUUA